rnacentral:rRNA from 1 species
GAUGAACGCUGGCGGCGUGCCUAAUACAUGCAAGUCGAGCGAACGGACGAGAAGCUUGCUUCUCUGAUGUUAGCGGCGGACGGGUGAGUAACACGUGGAUAACCUACCUAUAAGACUGGGAUAACUUCGGGAAACCGGAACUAAUACCGGAUAAUAUUUUGAACCGCAUGGUUCAAAAGUGAAAGACGGUCUUGCUGUCACUUAUAGAUGGAUCCGCGCUGCAUUAGCUAGUUGGUAAGGUAACGGCUUACCAAGGCAACGAUGCAUAGCCGACCUGAGAGGGUGAUCGGCCACACUGGAACUGAGACACGGUCCAGACUCCUACGGGAGGCAGCAGUAGGGAAUCUUCCGCAAUGGGCGGAAGCCUGACGGAGCAACGCCGCGUGAGUGAUGAAGGUCUUCGGAUCGUAAAACUCUGUUAUUAGGGAAGAACAUAUGUGUAAGUAACUGUGCACAUCUUGACGGUACCUAAUCAGAAAGCCACGGCUAACUACGU